rnacentral:rRNA from 1 species
AUACGGAGGAUGCGAGCGUUAUCCGGAUUUAUUGGGUUUAAAGGGUGCGCAGGCGGCCGUUUAAGUCAGCGGUUAAAUCGUGGGGCUCAACCCCAUUCUGCCGUUGAUACUGGGUGGCUUGAUUGCGGUCGAGGUUGGCGGAAUUCGUUGUGUAGCGGUGAAAUGCAUAGAUAUGACGAAGAACACCGAUUGCGUAGGCAGCUGACCAGAUCGCAAAUGACGCUCAUGCACGAAAGUGCGGGGAUCGAACAGGAUUAGAUACCCUGGUAGUCCGCACAGUAAACGAUGAAUACUUGUUUUCGGCGAUAUAAUGUCGGAGGCAAAGCGAAAGCGAUAAGUAUUCCACCUGGGGAGUACGCCGGCAACGGUGAAACUCAAAUGAAUUGACGGGG